rnacentral:rRNA from 1 species
AUUGAACGCUGGCGGCAGGCCUAACACAUGCAAGUCGAGCGGAUGAAGGGAGCUUGCUCCUGGAUUCAGCGGCGGACGGGUGAGUAAUGCCUAGGAAUCUGCCUGGUAGUGGGGGAUAACGUCCGGAAACGGGCGCUAAUACCGCAUACGUCCUGAGGGAGAAAGUGGGGGAUCUUCGGACCUCACGCUAUCAGAUGAGCCUAGGUCGGAUUAGCUAGUUGGUGGGGUAAAGGCCUACCAAGGCGACGAUCCGUAACUGGUCUGAGAGGAUGAUCAGUCAGGCUGAGACGGUGCCGCGGUCCAGCUUCGCGCGGGGGGUACAUGGUGUAAAGAUUGGACGAGUGCGAAGAUCAUGCUCCAGCCGUGCCGUGUGUGUGAAGACGUUCUUGGGUUUGUAAAGCUCUUUUAGGUUGGAUGAAGUGUAUUUAGUUCAUAUCUUGCUGUUUUGACGUUCCAAACAGACUCCGCACCGGUCAACUUCUUGCCAGCAGCCGCGGUAAUAACCGGAAUAGCACACUUCCGCCC